UGCUUGAGAUAGCUCAGUUGGUAGAGCACGAGACUGUUAAUAUCAGGGUUGUGGGGGUUCAAGCCCAAUGUUAGGCAA